AUUGAACGCUGGCGGCAGGCCUAACACAUGCAAGUCGAGCGAGAGGCGGACGGGUGAGUAAUGUAUGGGGACUGCCCGAUAGAGGGGGAGAACAACUGGAAACGGUGGCGAAUACCGCAUACUGCCGGAUAACACAUAUGGGAUUAGCUAGUAGGUAAGGGAAUGGCUUACCUCGGCGACGAGCCCUAGCUGGUCUGAGAGGAUGAGCAGCCACACUGGGACUGAGACCCGGCCCAGACUCCGACGGAGGCAGCAGUGGGGAAUAUUGCACAAUGGGCGCAAGCCUGAUGCAGCCAUGCCGCGUGUGUGAAGAAGGCUCUAGGGUUGUAAAGUACUUUCAGUCGGGAGGCGUUACCGACAGAAGAAGCACCGGCUAACUCCGUGCCAGCAGCCGCGGUAAUAC
rnacentral:rRNA from 1 species